GACGAACGCUGGCGGCGUGCCUAAUACAUGCAAGUCGAACGCACUUUCGUUAGAUUGAAGAAGCUUGCUUCUGAUUGAUAACAUUUGAGUGAGUGGCGGACGGGUGAGUAACACGUGGGUAACCUGCCCUAAAGUGGGGGAUAACAUUUGGAAACAGAUGCUAAUACCGCAUAAAACCUAGCACCGCAUGGUGCAAGGUUGAAAGAUGGUUUCGACUAUCACUUUAGGAUGGACCCGCGGUGCAUUAGUUAGUUGGUGAAGUAAAGGCUCACCAAGACCGUGAUGCAUAGCCGACCUGAGAGGGUAAUCGGCCACACUGGGACUGAGACACGGCCCAGACUCCUACGGGAGGCAGCAGUAGGGAAUCUUCCACAAUGGACGAAAGUCUGAUGGAGCAACGCCGCGUGAGUGAAGAAGGUUUUCGGAUCGUAAAACUCUGUUGUUGGAGAAGAACGUAUUUGAUAGUAACUGAUCAGGUAGUGACGGUAUCCAACCAGAAAGCCACGGCUAACUACGUG
rnacentral:rRNA from 2 species